UUGUGGAGCAGAGCCCCGAGAUGAAUCUGAGACACGAUUCCAGGCCCUACGGGGCGCAGCAGGCGCGAAAACUUUACAAUGCAGGAAACUGUGAUAAGGGACCCCGAGUGCCCGUACACGCGGGCUGUCCCGGUGUUUAAAACACAUCGGAAGAAAGGGCCGGGCAAGACCGGUGCCAGCCGCCGCGGUAAUACCGGCGGCUCGAGUGGUGACCACUUUUAUUGGGCUUAAAGCGUUCGUAGCUUGAUUUUUAAGUCUCUUGGGAAAUCUCACGGCUUAACUGUGAGGCGUCUAAGAGAUACUGGGAAUCUAGGGACCGGGAGAGGUAAGAGGUACUUCAGGGGUAGAAGUGAAAUUCUGUAAUCCUUGAGGGACCACCGAUGGCGAAGGCAUCUUACCAGAACGGCUUCGACAGUGAGGAACGAAAGCUGGGGGAGCGAACGGGAUUAGAUACCCCGGUAGUCCCAGCCGUAAACUAUGCGCGUUAGGUGUGCCUGUAACUACGAGUUACCGGGGUGCCGAAGUGAAAAACGUGAAACGUGCCGCCUGGGAAGUACGGUCGCAAGGCUGAAACUUAAAGGAAUUUGGCGGGGGAGCA
rnacentral:rRNA from 1 species